UUACAAUUUUUCAGUUAUCCUCGAAGUUUUCGAGGUUGCUCCCACGUUUCUGAUGGUAGAUCUGCAAAAAGCAGCCGGUGAUGCAGGAGAAUACCUAAAGUUUUACAAGAAAUUUGUAGCAACCUUGAGGAUAUCAUUUGGAAACCGGAACCGCCUAAUGAAUCAAGUAAAUCAAGGAUCACCAAAUCUAGGAGUAAAAGACGCUGAUCCUUU